CCUCUCUGUAUCAGAGACUUUUUCUUCAGGAAUAUGAGCAGUAAGGUUUCCAUUGUCAUGUUGGAGGACCUCGUCUUUUCUGAUCUCAGUAGACCCUUGAACACUAGUCUCUUCAUCAAGGACUCCUUGCGGGAGCUCUUCCAAUUCAUCAACACCUCCACCCUUCCCCUUCAAACCACAACCUCUGACCUCUAAGCCCAAGUUUUCUGUCAGAUCUACAGAAAAUGGAAUAGGAUUUGGCAAAGAUUGUUCAGCUUUGUCAUGCUCUUCUGAUUUCUCAACUACUACCGUAUUCUCAUCAGGUGACUUAUCAUUCAAAUUUUCUUUAGAUUCAGAAAGUGAUUCUGUUGCCUCAUCCACCACUGCACCACCACUUGAAAAGUUCUCCACCACCUCCUCAACGUUCUCACUUUCUUCUUUACCGACCACUUCCUCUGCAUUGCCUACGUGAUGAGAGUUGGGGAGUGUCUCUGCCGCACAAAGAGGCUGCUCUUGACAGGGCUCCUUUGCAUGUACCUUUAUUUCUUCAUCUCCCCGCGCUAAAUCAUCAUCCUGUUCAAACUUUGGCACCUCUCGGCCUCCCUGCAUGGAAAUGUUGUCUUCCACCGUCCUGCAUGCAUCCCCGCUGGAUUGAGCAGUUAAAGCCUGUUCACUUUCUGCCAGUUGCUUCUUACAGUUCAGAAGAUCCAGCUUCUCCUGCAGGCUAACAAGCUCCUUUGCUACAGAUUUUCUAUAUUCCCUAACGGUUGGAUGUAACCCCUGGCGAAGUAUAUUAAAAUUAGGAUAUAGGUGAUUCAGUUACUUGAAAAGAAAAUAGAAGAAAAAAGAAUUUAUCACCAAAAACUUAAUCAGGUCAGACAUGAAAACACAAAUGAAAACUUAGCCACCAGGUACAUUGGAAUCUUCAAAGUCAAGUGAUUUAGAUAGUAAGCCAAAAUUAUACGAAAACCAUGACACAAUACGAAUCAUGGAGUAAAGCAGCAAUAUAAUCAAGUUGAUUUUGCAUAAUCAAUCAGAGUUUUCAUCUUAGCUGAGUUUCGAAAUAAGAAAAACAAAAUAAAGAUUCACAGCUUUUGCUAUCCUAACUGUCCCACUGAAAUGGAUAUAGAAGAAGAUAGAUCAUAUUUUGAUGAUGUUUUGUGUAAGUUAGGUCAUUCACAUACCUGAAUAGCGUCAAGCUUCAGCAGAAGACCCAUUAUGGCUUCUGUGAGAAUAGUCAUCUGUUUGUUGUCAGCUGAGCUCUCCAAAGCCUGAAUACAGUUUUUAAGCUCAGCCAUCUGCUCCUUUAUUUUAGUUAUCUGCUUUAAUUUCUUCAGAGGCUCCCAUCUCCGCACGUUGAACCCUCGGUAUGCCGACUGAAUCACAGUAGCCGCGUUAUCAUCAGACAGCUUACUCCUAUCUGGUUUCAUGUACACAACUAAACCCGCAUUUCCCUUCGCUGCUUCUCUGGCCUCACCAAUCUGAUGUCCUUGAUUGUUGGACUGAGGUUCUGCUGCUACUCCAUCAGGUUGAUGCUUGAGCUCAUUGGUUGCUUUACUAGUAUCACCCUCACUGCUUUGGCCCCUUGCCUUCCCUUUCAGAUCAGGGAAAACCGUAUAUUGAUCUUGAAGUUUAUCUUCUUUGCUAGUCCCUUGGGCAACCUUAACAACUUUUCUUUUUCCUUCACUUGGAUCCACUUCUAUGCUUUUCUCCGGCGUAGCUGUUGUGGAUGAUUUGUCAAGAUGAACAUUCUCCUUCUCAUUUGAUAAGAUGGGAGGUUUGGAGCUGUCACUUGGCGAAUCUACUAAUUUCCGUUUCCCACCAGGAGGACUAGGGGACCUAGAACUGCCGUUACUGCUUUUUUUCCUAGGCAGGGGAUCAACUCUUAGACAAACAGGGGGCAGCUUGGAUGACUUUGUAGGAGAAGACGACUGCUUCUUGCCACCGUCUUCAGUGGUUUUCUUCUCUUUAGCAUCAACAUCAUGCUGUUUGGAAGCAUCUUCCGGUUUUCCAUCCAAGACAUCCUCAAUUUGCUCCAUUUGCCUUACUGGAAUGAUUUUCGUAACAGAAUCUUUAUUCAGUCCCUUUCCGUGGAUUUCACUUCCUCUAUUCACUACAUUUUCUCUAGAAUCGCUUCUAUCCUCUUCAACAUCAUGUAACUUUGGUAUGGUAGAUUUUAAGGGGGAGGUCUGCUCC
rnacentral:lncRNA from 1 species